rnacentral:lncRNA from 8 species
AUGAGCCUCUUAGCUUCAUCAUAUCAAGCCUCACAGAGCAUUUUGGAGCUCCACACAGCCCAAUCAACAGAGCGUUUUGGAGCUCCACACAGCCCAAUCAACAGAGCGUUUUGGAGCUCCACACAGCCCAAUCAACAGAGCGUUUUGGAGCUCCACACAGCCCAAUCAACAGAGCGUUUUGGAGUGCCACACAGCCCAAUCAACAGAGCGUUUUGGAGCUCCACACAGCCCAAUCAACAGAGCGUUUUGGAGCUCCACACAGCCCAAUCAACACAGAGAUUUGGAGCUCCACACAGCCCAAUCAACAGAGCGUUUUGGAGCUCCACACAGCCCAAUCAACAGAGCGUUUUGGAGCUCCACACAGCCCAAUCAACAGAGCGUUUUGGAGCUCCACACAGCCCAAUCAACAGAGCGUUUUGGAGCUCCACACAGCCCAAUCAACAGAGCGUUUUGGAGCGCCACACAGCCCAAUCAACAGAGCGUUUUGGAGCUCCACACAGCCCAAUCAACAGAGCGUUUUGGAGCUCCACACAGCCCAAUCAACAGAGCGUUUUGGAGCUCCACACAGCCCAAUCAACAGAGCGUUUUGGAGCGCCACACAGCCCAAUCAACAGAGUGUUUGGAGUGCCACACAGCCCAAUCAACAGAGCGUUUUGGAGCUCCACACAGCCCAAUCAACAGAGCGUUUUGGAGCUCCACACAGCCCAAUCAACAGAUCGUUUUGGAGCUCCACACAGCCCAACCAACAGAGCGUUUUGGAGCGUCACACAGCCCAAUCAACAGAGCGUUUUGGAGCUCCACACAGCCCAACCAACAGAGCGUUUUGGAGCGCCACACAGCCCAAUCAACAGAGCGUUUUGGAGCUCCACACAGCCCAAUCAACAGAGCGUUUUGGAGAGCCACACAGCCCAACCAACAGAGCGUUUUGGAGCGCCACACAGCCCAAUCAACAGAGCGUUUUGGAGUGCCACACAGCCCAAUCAACAGAGCGUUUUGGAGCUCCACACAGCCCAAUCAACAGAGCGUUUUGGAGCGCCACACAGCCCAAUCAACAGAGCGUUUUGGAGCUCCACACAGCCCAACCAACAGAGCGUUUUGGAGCUCCACACAGCCCAAUCAACAGAGCGUUUUGGAGCUCCACACAGCCCAAUCAACAGAGCGUUUUGGAGCUCCACACAGCCCAAUCAACAGAGCGUUUUGGAGCUCCACACAGCCCAAUCAACAGAGCGUUUUGGAGCUCCACACAGCCCAAUCAACAGAGCGUUUUGGAGCGCCACACAGCCCAAUCAACAGAGUGUUUGGAGUGCCACACAGCCCAAUCAACAGAGCGUUUUGGAGCUCCACACAGCCCAAUCAACAGAGCGUUUUGGAGCUCCACACAGCCCAAUCAACAGAGCGUUUUGGAGCUCCACACAGCCCAACCAACAGAGCGUUUUGGAGCGUCACACAGCCCAAUCAACAGAGCGUUUUGGAGCUCCACAUAGCCCAACCAACAGAGCGUUUUGGAGCGCCACACAGCCCAAUCAACAGAGCGUUUUGGAGCUCCACACAGCCCAAUCAACAGAUCGUUUUGGAGUGCCACACAGCCCAACCAACAGAGCGUUUUGGAGCGCCACACAGCCCAAUCAACAGAGCGUUUUGGAGUGCCACACAGCCCAACCAAUAGAGCGUUUUGGAGCUCCACACAGCCCAACCAACAGAGCAUUUUGGAGCGCCACACAGCCCAAUCAACAGAGCGUUUUGGAGUGCCACACAGCCCAAUCAACAGAGCGUUUUGGAGCUCCACACAGCCCAACCAACAGAGCGUUUUGGAGCGCCACACAGCCCAAUCAACAGAACGUUUUGGAGCUCCACAGCCCAACCAACAGAGCGUUUUGGAGUGCCACACAGCCCAAUCAACAGAGCGUUUUGGAGUGCCACACAGCCCAAUCAACAGAGCGUUUUGGAGCGCCACACAGCCCAAUCAACAGAGCGUUUUGGAGCUCCACACAGCCCAACCAACAGCGUUUUGGAGCGCCACACAGCCCAAUCAACAGAGCGUUUUGGAGCGCCACACAGCCCAAUCAACAGAGCGUUUUGGAGCGCCACACAGCCCAAUCAACAGAGCGUUUUGGAGCUCCACACAGCCCAACCAACAGAGCGUUUUGGAGCUUCACACAGCCCAAUCAACAGAGCGUUUUGGAGUGCCACACAGCCCAAUCAACAGAGCGUUUUGGAGCUCCACACAGCCCAACCAACAGAGCGUUUUGGAGCUUCACACAGCCCAAUCAACAGAGCGUUUCUGAGUUCUAUUGA